rnacentral:rRNA from 1 species
AACUAACGCUGGCGGCGUGCCUAACACAUGCAAGUCGUACGAGAAAGUUGGCUUCGGCCGAUGAGUACAGUGGCGCACGGGUGAGUAACGCGUGGAUAAUCUGCCCUUAAGUGUGGAAUAACGUACCGAAAGGUGCGCUAAUACCGCAUAAUGCCUGGCAACAUAAGUUGUCCGGCCAAAGAAGGCCUCUGCUUGCAAGCUUUCGCUAAAGGAUGAGUCCGCGUACCAUUAGCUAGUUGGUGGGGUAACGGCCUACCAAGGCGACGAUGGUUAGCUGGUCUGAGAGGAUGAUCAGCCACACUGGAACUGAGACACGGUCCAGACUCCUACGGGAGGCAGCAGUGGGGAAUAUUGGGCAAUGGGGGAGACCCUGACCCAGCGACGCCGCGUGAGGGAAGAAGGUUUUCGGAUCGUAAACCUCUGUUGUACGGGAAGAAGGAAUUGACGGUACCGUACGAGUAAGCCCCGGCAAACUACGUG